rnacentral:lncRNA from 10 species
AUUUCUUCCAGGCUCCAACUUGCUUCUGCUUUGCCAUAUGGUAACACGCCGUAUUAUGGAAGCACCAUCAUUACCGCCAUUUGCAGGGGAAGCCUAAAGAGGUAAAUGCCAGCCAGCAUCCCUGUCUCUGGGGCCCUGGAGAGGCCUUCAACACACCUGGCCUCACUGCCCUGUGGCUUCAACAAAGAGGCCGAGCAUCUCCUAUAAACCUUGAGGUCCAUGGAUGACAUAGCGGAAUGAUGGAUUUCAGAAAAGGACACUGCUGUUACGACUCCAGAACCGAUAAGGAAGCUAUGUGUGGAAGUAUGAGCUCAGGUCGCCUUCUGACCCUCUGUGACGGUCUAUUUCAGGCAGUUAUGGAUAGAUAACAUUACAGACACUGGGAUCUUUAACAAGUGACACAAACAAGAGAAGAAGCAGACAGGACCAUUUAACUUCAAACUCCACCGAAGAGAGCUGAAUUGUAAGCUUCCUACAGCAAGCCCGGCUGGCGGCUAUGUGGCAGUCUUCAUUUCUCAGCGGAAAAGCCACUCCCUUGAGACUCUCCAGGCACCCCCCAACCGCAUUUUUUAUCAAGUGUCUAAAAGGCACAAUGAACAAAAACCAGAGCUUUUGAAUACAGAUUUCCAGUAAAACCAAACCCAGCUUGGGUCAGAUGCACCUUUCCAGC